GGCUAGGCCUCUCUCUGCCACGACUCCCAUGAGUUAAACGCGGUGGAGUUUUCCUAGCACUCCAGCUAGAGCAAGGGCCGGAAACUGAGAGGCAGGAAAACAAAAACCAAACCAAAACCUUUGCCAGCAGCGCCCGAGUUCACUGCCUGGGUGACUCCGCUCCGCAGCUGGGGUGCCCCCGCCCCCGUUCUCCCCUCCCCACUCCCUCCAGUGACCCAGCUGUGCAAGUGGAGAGAGCCUGGGGAGCCGGCCCUGCGCAUACCAGGGCACCCAAGCAAAAAAACAUGCUAACCACAGGAACCGCUGGCUAUAAAAGCUCCUCCUGCUUCCCUCGCCGCUGAGGACACCGCUCCUGCUGUCGAACUCACGCCAGGGUUAGUUACCGUGGGAAAUGUGGGAAAGCACCACGUUGACAAAGUUCAGUUGUGAUGGAGGCUGAACUCCCAUCCAUCCCAGCCAGCAGUUGGUGUCGGUCGGUCAGGACCUGAAACAGUUUUCCUGCACACUCGCUCGCUGCCUGCCUGGUUAACGUUCUGUCUGACACCCCGGGCCUGUGUUGGUUGUUGCACAGGAGUCAUUCCCUUCUAGGAAGGAGCCAUGAGAAAUAGUCACCUUGGAUGGAAACAUGGAUUCUAGCACCAGAGACCCCGAAUGACACUCAGCUGCUACUGCGGCCAAGCUGCACAAGAGCCACCUUCACCCAGGUGCUGGGAGUGGAGCUUCACCAGAAUGCUUGGUCC
rnacentral:lncRNA from 1 species